UUAGGCCGGGAACUCAAAGGAGACUGCCAGUGAUAAACUGGAGGAAGGUGGGGAUGACGUCAAGUCAUCAUGGCCCUUACGACCAGGGCUACACACGUGCUACAAUGGCGCAUACAAAGAGAAGCGACCUCGCGAGAGCAAGCGGACCUCAUAAAGUGCGUCGUAGUCCGGAUUGGAGUCUGCAACUCGACUCCAUGAAGUCGGAAUCGCUAGUAAUCGUGGAUCAGAAUGCCACGGUGAAUACGUUCCCGGGCCUUGUACACACCGCCCGUCACACCAUGGGAGUGGGUUGCAAAAGAAGUAGGUAGCUUAACCUUCGGGAGGGCGCUUACCACUUUGUGAUUCAUGACUGGGGUGAAGUCGUAACAAGGUAACCGUAGGGGAACCUGCGGUUGGAUCACCUCCUUACCUGAAAGAA
rnacentral:rRNA from 4 species